rnacentral:lncRNA from 1 species
GGGUGCGAGGGGUGGGGUCGGUCCGGGCUGCGGGCACGCGGAGCACGUGUCCGAAGAGGCUGGGCAGGGGCUGGGUCGGUCGGUGGCAGGGAAAGGAAUCGGGGUGGGUAGGAGGCGCUGGGAGGUCACCUUUGAUGUAGACAUCGUCGUCGGCGCGCAUGAACCACUCGUACUUGUCCAGAUCACCUGGGUUCCUAGCCACUCAUUAAGUGAAGAUUUACUAAGUACCACCAGAAUGGGCCACAUACAGUCACAUUUCCAGAUCUGCUGGGGACAGACAGGACAUGGCCGCCUGGACUAGAGCUUCUGCGAGGGAUCCCGCUGACAUCCAUAUUGAGCAUUAUCUCCAACCCAAUGGAGCUGAGAUGUAUUUGAUUAAACCACACUUUGAGAAUCAACCUCAUUAUUUACCAUCAUCGACUGCACUGGCCACAUAGAAAUUAGGUUGAGCACCCGGUAAGCCUCCCCUUUAAGCUUCUAUUUUAAAUUCCCUUGUCUUCCCUAACCCACACGUGGUAGCUCAUUCUUACAGAUGAUAGCCUUGUGAUACACUAGGGGUUCUUUCCUUUUUGUUUAAGUAGUUAAAAUUACUUAAGUGACAUCAUCUUCUUUUAAAAAAUACCAGACUGACCCAAACAGCAUAUUUUUGUGAAUAAUCUAUGUGUGCUCAAAAAUAAAAUAUUUGCUGUUAUUUUGGGGGUUGUAAUGCUGUGUAUAACAAUACUAUGCACCAG